rnacentral:lncRNA from 1 species
CUGUGAAAUCCAACCGGGUGCGCGACCACGAGGAAGGAUGGCGAGGGAGGAAACCGCGCUUUGUUGUUGAGGUGAGCCGGGUGCGCGACCACGAGGAAGGAUGGCGAGGGAGGAAACCGCGCUUUGUUGGUGAGGUGAGCCGGGUGCGCGACCAUGAGGAAGGAUGGCGAGGGAGGAAACCGCGCUUUGUUGGUGAGGUGUUCACGGAUAAUGAAGCUGAUGUGAGAGCCCUGGAGAGAAACAUCAGUCAAAGGCAUGCAGGGAAUCCCAUCCAGCGUCCCUCUACUCUCCUCUGCAGCUUCCAUGGUUGGAAUGCUGAGCCAUUGCUAGGACGAUGAGGCUACAGGAAAGUGAAAUGCACCUGCUGCGAUCUGAUCCAACUGACCACUCCUGCUGCUCCUCCCUUGCACCUCAGGCAUCUCCUUCCAAUCUGGAGGAAACACUUUUACCUCCACUUUUCUUUUACAGUCCUCCAAACUCUGUUCCUUCUAGGGAGCACAAGUACAGAAAUAGAAACCUGGACUCCCAUCAUCCUGCUUCACAAACUUACAAUGUUAAAGAAAGAAAAAAAAAAAGACCAAGUACAUUACCUGGUAGAAUUGGAGAGAUGGGCACGAAAGAGCUGUAAAUACAGUUAGAAAACACACUAGCAUUUACAAAUGUGUAUGAGAAACAAUGAGGAGGAUUUUCAGAGACUAUCAUAACCAUUUAUUUUUCUAAUAUGUGAUAAGUAAACGCACAGAAAAUCAAUUUAAUAUUUGGGGCUUUUAUUUCUCAUUUUUUAGAUUGCCAGAAAGACUGUCCAGUGUUAUAAAGUUUGUGUCAAUAUUCUGGAAUUGGCAAUUUUGUCAUUUAUAUGGGAGAAAUAGCUAAAGGUG